ACCACCAAAGUUUCAUAAACUAGAUACAUAAAAUAACAUCAACAAAUUAAGUCAAACUCAAUUUGUCCCUAAACCUAACUAAUUUCUAGAUGCUUGCCAUUCAUCGAACAUUUUGUUGGCUAGUUCCAUCCUCCAAGUAGCCCAAGCAUCCGAUGGAUGAAUAUUUAUGAUAUUCGGUUCAUCGUCAUCCACCACAUUACUAGGUAAUCCUUCUCCCACCUCCACUUCAAUGGGAUCAAUACUCAUAUGGGUUCGAAUAAAAUUAUGGAGCAAACAACAUGCAAUAAUAAUUCUAUUGUGCACCCUUACAGGAUAGAACGAUG
rnacentral:lncRNA from 1 species